AUUGAACGCUGGCGGCAUGCCUUACACAUGCAAGUCGAACGGUAACAGGCCUUCGGAUGCUGACGAGUGGCGAACGGGUGAGUAAUACAUCGGAACGUGCCUAGUAGUGGGGGAUAACUACUCGAAAGAGUGGCUAAUACCGCAUGAGAUCUACGGAUGAAAGCAGGGGAUCGCAAGACCUUGUGCUACUAGAGCGGCCGAUGGCAGAUUAGGUAGUUGGUGGGAUAAAAGAUUACCAAGCCGACGAUCUGUAGCUGGUCUGAGAGGACGAUCAGCCACACUGGGACUGAGACAGGGCGCAGACUCCUACGGGAGGCAGCAGUGGGGAAUUUUGGACAAUGGGCGCAAGCCUGAUCCAGCAAUGCCGCGUGCAGGAUGAAGGCCUUCGGGUUGUAAACUGCUUUUGUACGGAACGAAAAGCCCCGGGUUAAUACCCUGGGGUCAUGACGGUACCGUAAGAAUAAGCACCGGCUAACUACGUGCCAGCAGCCGCGGUAA
rnacentral:rRNA from 1 species